rnacentral:lncRNA from 1 species
AAAAUUUAAAAACAUUUUUUAGUAUACUUUAAAACUUUAUUAAAUAAUAUAUAUAAGUCAUAAAAUAAAACUUAUUCCGUCAAAAAUAAAAAUUAAACAUCAAAACCCAAAAUUAAAAUGAAAAUUUGAAACCAAAUUAAAUUAUCACAACUAAUUCAAAAAAAAUUCAGAUAUCCUAAUUUAAUUCAACUAAAUUUAACUUUAUAUCUCUUUUUUUAUUUUGUAUUUAAAUGUUAUAUUUAAAAAUAUAAAAUUUAAAUUAGCAUCGUAAAUAUGAAAUAGGGUUAAUUUAUUAAAUAGGGUUCAUUUAAUCAAUUUGAAUUAAUCCAAUUUAAAGAACAAGUGACGAAACCUAUUUACGUGAAGUUUUGGUUGCCCAAUGAAGCACUUAUGGAAAAUUAAGGCUACUUUAGUAAAUAGAAAAAUCAAUCUUAGAAAAUUUGUAAUUGUAGAUAUGCUUCGAUCUCGUUUGUCGAUAUAAAGCUAGUUGUACAGUUAGAUUUGAGGGAACUUAACUAUAAAUAAAGAGCCACCUCUUAUUUGCAAUCAUCCAUUGUAUCCUAUUUUUUGAGUUAAAGAAUAUAUUGAGAAUAUUUACUCAAACACUUAGUGUGUUGUGCUUUUUUGUGGCUAUUCUGUUAUUUCGAACUUUCUUUUGAUUUUGAGUUUUGUUUAUUUU